AUUGAACGCUGGCGGAAUGCUUUACACAUGCAAGUCGAACGGCAGCACGGACUUCGGUCUGGUGGCGAGUGGCGAACGGGUGAGUAAUGUAUCGGAACGUGCCCAGUCGUGGGGGAUAACGUAGUGAAAAUUACGCUAAUACCGCAUACGAUCUAUGGAUGAAAGCGGGGGAUCGCAAGACCUCGCGCGAUUGGAGCGGCCGAUAUCAGAUUAGGUAGUUGGUGGGGUAAAGGCCCACCAAGCCAACGAUCUGUAGCUGGUCUGAGAGGACGACAAGCCACACGGGAACGGGGACACGGUCCAGACUCCUACGGGAGGCAGCAGUGGGGAAUUUUGGACAAUGGGCGAAAGCCUGAUCCAGCCAUUCCGCGUGCAGGAUGAAGGCCCUCGGGUUGUAAACUGCUUUUGUACAGAACGAAAAGGUUUCUACUAAUACUAGGAGCUCAUGACGGUACUGUAAGAAUAAGCACCGGCUAACUACGUGCCAGCCGCCGCUGUAA
rnacentral:rRNA from 1 species